UAGCUCUCAAAGAGGUUGUGAAAUGUUCAAUUUGACUUUCAUAUCACAGCCAGCUUUGAAGAGCUUAA
rnacentral:pre_miRNA from 1 species